rnacentral:tRNA from 1 species
GGCUGAAUAGCUCAGUGGUAAGAGCAGUCGCCCUGCAAGCGAAAGACUCGGGUUCGAUUCCCGAUUCAGCGA